AUUGAACGCUGGCGGCAUGCCUUACACAUGCAAGUCGAACGGCAGCACGGGAGCAAUCCUGGUGGCGAGUGGCGAACGGGUGAGUAAUAUAUCGGAACGUGCCCAGUAGUGGGGGAUAGCCCGGCGAAAGCCGGAUUAAUACCGCAUACGACCUACGGGUGAAAGCGGGGGAUCGCAAGACCUCGCGCUAUUGGAGCGGCCGAUAUCAGAUUAGCUAGUUGGGGGGUAAAAGCCUACCAAGGCGACGAUCUGUAGCUGGUCUGAGAGGACGACCAGCCACACUGGGACUGAGACACGGCCCAGACUCCUACGGGAGGCAGCAGUGGGGAAUUUUGGACAAUGGGCGCAAGCCUGAUCCAGCCAUGCCGCGUGCGGGAAGAAGGCCU
rnacentral:rRNA from 1 species